UAGCAUCAUUGGUAAAGAUGGCGGCUGAUCUGAAGGUGGUGCUUGCUGCAUUGCUGAGAGACAUUUCAGAAAGGAGUUCCUGUGAAAACUUAGCUGAAGCGAAAGCAAUUUUGAGUGCAACGCGCGCAGAAAAUAUUUAUAACGUAUCGAAAGACCUUGAUCUAAGCCCUUUGUUCAGCUGUUCUAGCACGUUUAACGGGAAUACUUUAGAUGAACUCAGUGAGCUGCUUGGAAAGCUUCUUGAUGGGUUUCCACCAUCUGCAUUACUUUCCGCUCACAAGCAGCAUUUUGUGACUGCAUUGAGCACUUCUGAUGGGGCACUGAAAGCAGUCGUCUUACGCCAGCUGAUUCGAUGCUCCAAGGACAAUGCUACAUUGUCUCAGCUUGCUCGUGAUCACCGCAUCCUUGAAUCUGUUUUGAGGCUCCUUGGUAGCGAGGACCUCUGGUCAUCCAAGCAGAGUGCUAUUCUGCUGAAACAGAUGACACGGGAAAAGGAAGUACUAAGUGCCAUGCUGCAUCCCCCUGUGGCACACGUUCUGGACAGCGUUAUGGAUGGUGGUGAUGUGUGCCGUUUUAGAGUGUUUGAGGUCUUUGUGGAUGUGGCAAAGGCUUCUCCUGAAAACCUUGAGCGGCUUUCAGAAAGCGGCCAUCUGGAGAGACUGGUGAAAGAAAUGGACAAGAAUGAUGUCUUAGUUCAGCUGAAUGCAUUAGAAGUGCUGACUGAGCUUGUGUCUUGUAGCCAUGGUUUGGAUUAUCUUGAGCGUACUGGCAUCAUAUCCAAGCUCCGUCAGAAAGCUCUCAACAUUGGUUCUGACCCACUCGGUAACUUUCUGGGCCCAGGAGUGCUCAAGUUUUUUGGCAGCAUGGGUGUGACCAGCCCCCAGCGAUUGCUGCUUGACUACCCUCAGGUGCUGGGCUUUAUCUUCGAAAGUGUGCAAAGUGAUGACCCAGCAUGCCAGGUAGUUGCUGCAGAAACAGUGGGUAUCAUCAGCUCCACCAUUCAAGGAAAACGUGUCCUUCAAUCACAUGGGGAUCAGAUGAGCCGCUACCUAAAAACAUUAAGCCAGAACAUCCAUAGUGGAAAGGUCGACUUCAAGGUUCGAUAUCUCGGUGCCCUGGCCAAUGUUCUGCACAUUCAAGACAGCAGCUGCGAGGACUUGGUGCACUUGACAGAGCGGUGGUACAGCCUGCUAGGUGACCGACCCACUGACAUGUUGCUCCGCCUGUGCCGGCAGCCAUUCCCUGAGCUGCGUUGUGCCACCCUGACUGUGGUUGCUGAAGUGGCACGAGUACCCUGGGGUCAGGCUGCACUGGCAGCACAGCCAGGGUUCCUUGAGUACCUUCUUGACCGCUCCACUGAGGCUGACAAACAGUGCAAGGAGGCCAAGUUUGCUGUCGUGGCUAUCUUGGCUCAGAUGCAACCUCGUGGUUUUGCUGAUGAUGACUGGCAACGCAUCAGGACUGCCUACCAAGAGGGUCCCUUCUAUAUGGCCUCGGAAGCGGCUGUAACCUUUGAGGGGCUCUCCUGAGGCUCUCGUCUGUCAAGCAUCAUCCUCCCAGCGGAGUAGCUCCAUCCCGAUGCAGGUUAUGGAGCAUCAAUUAAGUGCUCAAGUACAAGGACACACAGAUUCAAACAUAAUACAGCACUGCGUCAUGUUUCCUUCAUUACAUCAGUGUUCUUGAGGGCUGCAUGAAUGAUUUAUCGCCAACUAGCCCAUACGACACCUGCACUUGAAAUAACAGGAAGCUCAAGGAGCAGUGUGAUCUUAGAACAUUGGUGGCCUAGACCUGCUUUCUGCAGCUCCUUCCCACAGCUAAUGGAACACAGAACAAUGCGGAAAGUUGUAUAAAAAAUGUUUUAUUGUAGAAUGUCACCAACGUAAAACAAAUAAAGGGAUCACUUUCUGUCAGAAAAAAUAUGGCAGCAUGAUUCACUCAA